rnacentral:rRNA from 1 species
GGAACACGUGAAAUUCCGUCGGAAUCCGGGAGGACCAUCUCCCAAGGCUAAAUACUCCCUAGUGACCGAUAGUGAACCAGUACCGUGAGGGAAAGGUGAAAAGCACCCCGGAAGGGGAGUGAAACAGUUCCUGAAACCGUGUGCCUACAAGUAGUUAGAGCCCGUUAAUGGGUGAUAGCGUGCCUUUUGUAGAAUGAACCGGCGAGUUACGAUUUGUUGCAAGGUUAAGCGGAAAAAGCGGAGCCGUAGCGAAAGCGAGUCUGAAUAGGGCGCAUAAGUAACAGGUCGUAGACCCGAAACCAGGUGAUCUACCCAUGUCCAGGAUGAAGGUAAGGUAAUACUUACUGGAGGUCCGAACCCACGCACGUUGAAAAGUGCGGGGAUGAGGUGUGGGUAGCGGAGAAAUUCCAAUCGAACUUGGAGAUAGCUGGUUCUCUCCGAAAUAGCUUUAGGGCUAGCCUCGAGGUAAAGAGUCAUGGAGGUAGAGCACUGUUUGGACUAGGGGCCCUUCUCGGGUUACCGAAUUCAGAUAAACUCCGAAUGCCAUGUACUUAUACUCGGGAGUCAGACUGCGAGUGAUAAGAUCCGUAGUCGAAAGGGAAACAGCCCAGACCACCAGUUAAGGUCCCCAAAUAUAUGUUAAGUGGAAAAGGAUGUGGGGUUGCUUAGACAACCAGGAUGUUGGCUUAGAAGCAGCCACCAUUGAAAGAGUGCGUAAUAGCUCACUGGUCGAGUGACCCCGCGCCGAAAAUGUACCGGGGCUAAACAUAUUACCGAAACUGUGGAUGAACCUCUUUAGAGGUUCGUGGUAGGAGAGCGUUCUAAGGGCGGUGAAGUCAGACCGGAAGGACUGGUGGAGCGCUUAGAAGUGAGAAUGCCGGUAUGAGUAGCGAAAGAAGGGUGAGAAUCCCUUCCACCGAAUAUCUAAGGUUUCCUGAGGAAGGCUCGUCCGCUCAGGGUUAGUCGGGACCUAAGCCGAGGCCGAUAGGCGUAGGCGAUGGACAACAGGUAGAGAUUCCUGUACCAGUGCUAAUUGUUUAACCGAUGGGGUGACACAGAAGGAUAGGGAAUCGCACGAAUGGAAAUGUGCGUCCAAGCAGUGAGUGUGAGAAGUAGGCAAAUCCGCUUCUCGCGAAGCAUGAGCUGUGAUGGGGAAGGAAAUUAAGUACGGAAGUUCCUGAUUUCACGCUGUCAAGAAAAGCCUCUAGGAAGAGUAGUACUGCCCGUACCGCAAACCGACACAGGUAGAUGAGGAGAGAAUCCUAAGGUGAGCGAGAGAACUCUCGUUAAGGAACUCGGCAAAAUGACCCCGUAACUUCGGGAGAAGGGGUGCUCUAUUAGGGUGCAAGCCCGAGAGAGCCGCAGUGAAUAGGCCCAGGCGACUGUUUAGCAAAAACACAGGUCUCUGCAAAACCGUAAGGUGACGUAUAGGGGCUGACGCCUGCCCGGUGCUGGAAGGUUAAGAGGAGUGCUUAGCUUCGGCGAAGGUACGAAUUGAAGCCCCAGUAAACGGCGGCCGUAACUAUAACGGUCCUAAGGUAGCGAAAUUCCUUGUCGGGUAAGUUCCGACCCGCACGAAAGGCGCAACGAUCUGGGCACUGUCUCAACGAGAGACUCGGUGAAAUUAUAGUACCUGUGAAGAUGCAGGUUACCCGCGACAGGACGGAAAGACCCCGUGGAGCUUUACUGCAACCUGAUAUGGAAUGUUUGUACCGCUUGUACAGGAUAGGUAGGAGCCGAAGAGACGUGUGCGCUAGCAUACGAGGAGGCAAUGGUGGGAUACUACCCUGGCUGUAUGACCAUUCUAACCCGCCACGCUUAGCGCGUGGGGAGACAGUGUCAGGUGGGCAGUUUGACUGGGGCGGUCGCCUCCUAAAGAGUAACGGAGGCGCCCAAAGGUUCCCUCAGAAUGGAUGGAAAUCAUUCGCAGAGUGUAAAGGCACAAGGGAGCUUGACUGCGAGACUGACAAGUCGAGCAGGGACGAAAGUCGGGCUUAGUGAUCCGGUGGUUCCGCAUGGAAGGGCCAUCGCUCAACGGAUAAAAGCUACCCCGGGGAUAACAGGCUUAUCUCCCCCAAGAGUCCACAUCGACGGGGAGGUUUGGCACCUCGAUGUCGGCUCGUCGCAUCCUGGGGCUGUAGUCGGUCCCAAGGGUUGGGCUGUUCGCCCAUUAAAGCGGCACGCGAGCUGGGUUCAGAACGUCGUGAGACAGUUCGGUCCCUAUCCGUCGCGGGCGCAGGAAAUUUGAGAGGAGCUGUCCUUAGUACGAGAGGACCGGGAUGGACACACCGCUGGUGUACCAGUUGUUCCGCCAGGAGCAUCGCUGGGUAGCUAUGUGUGGCAGGGAUAAACGCUGAAAGCAUCUAAGCGUGAAGCCCCCCUCAAGAUGAGAUUUCCCAUUUCUUCGGAAAGUAAGAUCCCUGAAAGAUGAUCAGGUAGAUAGGUUUGGAGUGGAAGUGUAGCGAUACAUGGAGCGGACAAAUACUAAUCGAUCGAGGACUUAACCAAAA